GAACAAGGGGAAUCCUAGUGUUUAAUUAAAAUAAAGCAUUGUGAUGGUCCCUGCGGAUGUUGACGUAAUGUGAUUCAUUCCCAGUGUUUUGCAUUUCAAAGUGAAUAAAUUCAACCAAGUGUGGGUAAACGACACGAGAAACUAUGACUCUCUUAAGGUAUCCAGAUGCAUCGUCAUCUAAUUAGUGAUGCUCAUGAAUGGAUUAACGAGAUUCCCACUGUCCCUAGCUACUAUCUAGAGAAACCACAUCCAAGGGAACGAGCUUGGUAGAAUUAGCAGGGAAAUAAGACCAUGUUGAGAUUGACUCUAGUAUGACUUAGUGACAUUACUUGAGAGGUGUAGAAUAAGUGGGAUUUGUUUUCAGUGCAAGUGAAAUACCACUAAUUUUAAUGUUAUUUUACUUAUUUUAUGGGGCGGAGACGGGGCAUUGCACAUAUGUUAAAAGAUAAUGCACAUUUUCUCAAAGUGUUGUCAUUGAUGGCAAUGGUAAAUAUCUCAUUCUUCACGCACUUGAUCUAAAUGAUUUUAGGAAACCAAAGAGAAUCAUUUCUUUUAAGGAUGAAUAAAUUUCCUAAAAUCCCUAUGUUUUUAGCCAACAUCCCCUU
rnacentral:ncRNA from 1 species